CGUGUAGGCGGUUGCGGUAAGUUGGGCGUGAAAUCCCCGAGCUUAACUCGGGUGGGCCGUUCAAGACUGCCGUGCUAGGGUGCGGGGAGAGGGAAGUGGAAUUUCCGGUGUAGCGGUGAAAUGCGUAGAUAUCGGGAGGAACACCUGCGGCGAAGGCGGCUUCCUGGACCGUAACCGACGCUGAGGCGCGAAAGCUAGGGGAGCGAAACAGGAUUAGAUACCCUGGUAGUCCUAGCCCUAAACGAUGAGCACUGGGUGUGGCCCCUCACGAGGCCGUGCCGAAGCUAACGCAUUAAGUGCUCCGCCUGGGGAGUACGGUCGCAAGGCUGAA
rnacentral:rRNA from 1 species